rnacentral:rRNA from 1 species
UUGAACGCUGGCGGAAUGCUUUACACAUGCAAGUCGAGCGGCAGCGCGGGGGCAACCCUGGCGGCGAGCGGCGAACGGGUGAGUAACAUAUCGGAACGUACCCUAUCGUGGGGGAUAACACAUCGAAAGAUGUGCUAAUACCGCAUACGACCUGAGGGUGAAAGCAGGGGAUCGCAAGACCUUGUGCGACAGGAGCGGCCGAUAUCGGAUUAGCUAGUUGGUGAGGUAAAGGCUCACCAAGGCGACGAUCCGUAGCUGGUCUGAGAGGACGACCAGCCACACUGGAACUGAGACACGGUCCAGACUCCUACGGGAGGCAGCAGUGGGGAAUUUUGGACAAUGGGGGCAACCCUGAUCCAGCCAUUCCGCGUGAGUGAAGAAGGCCUUCGGGUUGUAAAACUCUUUCGGCAGGAACGAAAUCGGGCGCGUGAAUAGCGUGCCUGGAUGACGGUACUGUCAGAAGAAGCACCGGCUAACUACGU